rnacentral:rRNA from 1 species
CCCUCUGGGGCGCGCAGGCUUACGGCCAUCAGUUCGUUCUCUUCCACGCGGCACUUGAAUUCGAUCUUGCGGUCGCCCAGUACCAAACAGAUCGGCGGCAGGUUGCUGGAACAAUAAUAGAGCGGGGCUAAUUCGUUGAUGAGCGGACGGUAUUGCGGACCCGUAUCGCCGAGCAGUUUCUUGACAUGAAAAUGGGUCGUCAUCUGGCCGCUGACAGGGAUCAGGCCCGCGAGCUGGAGGUUGGAAAUCCCGUACGGGGCCAGCCACCUGGGAUCCAUGCCGAUCAGCGAGGUCAGGUAGCCACCUGCGGAAGCGCCUGACACAAAAACCUUGUUUGAGUCGCCGCCGUACUGUGCGAUAUUCUUUAUGACCCAGGCCGUAGCCGCUGCCGCAUCUUCCAGGUAAGCGGGAUGCUGGACUUUGGGAGAGAGC